UACAGAGGUCUCAAGCGUUGUUCGGAUUCAUUGGGCGUAAAGGGUGCGUAGGUGGCGCUGUAAGUCGGGUGUGAAAUUUCGGAGCUUAACUCCGAAACUGCAUUCGAUACUGCGGUGCUUGAGGACUGGAGAGGAGACUGGAAUUCAUGGUGUAGCAGUGAAAUGCGUAGAGAUCAUGAGGAAGACCAGUGGCGAAGGCGGGCCUCUGGACAGUUCCUGACACUGAGGCACGAAGGCCAGGGGAGCAAACGGG
rnacentral:rRNA from 1 species